GACGAACGCUGGCGGCGUGCCUAAUACAUGCAAGUAGAACGCUGAAGGAGGAGCUUGCUCUUCUGGAUGAGUUGCGAACGGGUGAGUAACGCGUAGGUAACCUGCCUGGUAGCGGGGGAUAACUAUUGGAAACGAUAGCUAAUACCGCAUAACAGUAGAUGUUGCAUGACAUUUACUUAAAAGGUGCAAUUGCAUCACUACCAGAUGGACCUGCGUUGUAUUAGCUAGUUGGUGGGGUAACGGCUCACCAAGGCGACGAUACAUAGCCGACCUGAGAGGGUGAUCGGCCACACUGGGACUGAGACACGGCCCAGACUCCUACGGGAGGCAGCAGUAGGGAAUCUUCGGCAAUGGACGGAAGUCUGACCGAGCAACGCCGCGUGAGUGAAGAAGGUUUUCGGAUCGUAAAGCUCUGUUGUAAGAGAAGAACGAGCGUGAGAGUGGAAAGUUCACACUGUGACGGUAGCUUACCAGAAAGGGACGGCUAACUACGUG
rnacentral:rRNA from 1 species